rnacentral:rRNA from 1 species
GGGUUGUGAGGUUAAGCGACUAAGCGUACACGGUGGAUGCCCUGGCAGUCAGAGGCGAUGAAGGACGUGCUAAUCUGCGAAAAGCGCCGGCGAGGUGAUAUGAACCUUUGACCCGGCGAUGUCCGAAUGGGGAAACCCAGUGUGAUUCGUCACACUAUCGUUAACUGAAUACAUAGGUUAACGAGGCGAACCGGGGGAACUGAAACAUCUAAGUACCCCGAGGAAAAGAAAUCAACCGAGAUUCCCCCAGUAGCGGCGAGCGAACGGGGAGCAGCCCAGAGUCUGAAUCAGCUUGUGUGUUAGUGGAAGCGUCUGGAAAGUCGCACGGUACAGGGUGACAGUCCCGUACACGAAAGCACACAGGUUGUGAACUCGAAGAGUAGGGCGGGACACGUGGUAUCCUGUCUGAAUAUGGGGGGACCAUCCUCCAAGGCUAAAUACUCCUGACUGACCGAUAGUGAACCAGUACCGUGAGGGAAAGGCGAAAAGAACCCCGGCGAGGGGAGUGAAAAAGAACCUGAAACCGUGUACGUACAAGCAGUGGGAGCACCUUCGUGGUGUGACUGCGUACCUUUUGUAUAAUGGGUCAGCGACUUAUAUUCUGUAGCAAGGUUAACCGUAUAGGGGAGCCGAAGGGAAACCGAGUCUUAACUGGGCGUUAAGUUGCAGGGUAUAGACCCGAAACCCGGUGAUCUAGCCAUGGGCAGGUUGAAGGUUGGGUAACACUAACUGGAGGACCGAACCGACUAAUGUUGAAAAAUUAGCGGAUGACUUGUGGCUGGGGGUGAAAGGCCAAUCAAACCGGGAGAUAGCUGGUUCUCCCCGAAAGCUAUUUAGGUAGCGCCUCGUGAACUCAUCUUCGGGGGUAGAGCACUGUUUCGGCUAGGGGGCCAUCCCGGCUUACCAACCCGAUGCAAACUACGAAUACCGAAGAAUGUUAUCACGGGAGACACACGGCGGGUGCUAACGUCCGUCGUGAAGAGGGAAACAACCCAGACCGCCAGCUAAGGUCCCAAAGUCAUGGUUAAGUGGGAAACGAUGUGGGAAGGCACAGACAGCCAGGAUGUUGGCUUAGAAGCAGCCAUCAUUUAAAGAAAGCGUAAUAGCUCACUGGUCGAGUCGGCCUGCGCGGAAGAUGUAACGGGGCUAAACCAUGCACCGAAGCUGCGGCAGCGACACUAUGUGUUGUUGGGUAGGGGAGCGUUCUGUAAGCCGUUGAAGGUGUGCUGUGAGGCAUGCUGGAGGUAUCAGAAGUGCGAAUGCUGACAUAAGUAACGAUAAAGCGGGUGAAAAGCCCGCUCGCCGGAAGACCAAGGGUUCCUGUCCAACGUUAAUCGGGGCAGGGUGAGUCGACCCCUAAGGCGAGGCCGAAAGGCGUAGUCGAUGGGAAACAGGUUAAUAUUCCUGUACUUGGUGUUACUGCGAAGGGGGGACGGAGAAGGCUAUGUUAGCCGGGCGACGGUUGUCCCGGUUUAAGCAUGUAGGCGGAGGUUCCAGGUAAAUCCGGUACCUUUUAACGCUGAGGUGUGAUGACGAGGCACUACGGUGCUGAAGUAACAAAUGCCCUGCUUCCAGGAAAAGCCUCUAAGCAUCAGGUAACAUCAAAUCGUACCCCAAACCGACACAGGUGGUCAGGUAGAGAAUACCAAGGCGCUUGAGAGAACUCGGGUGAAGGAACUAGGCAAAAUGGUGCCGUAACUUCGGGAGAAGGCACGCUGAUAUGUAGGUGAAGCCCCUGCGGGUGGAGCUGAAAUCAGUCGAAGAUACCAGCUGGCUGCAACUGUUUAUUAAAAACACAGCACUGUGCAAACACGAAAGUGGACGUAUACGGUGUGACGCCUGCCCGGUGCCGGAAGGUUAAUUGAUGGGGUUAGCGGCAACGCGAAGCUCUUGAUCGAAGCCCCGGUAAACGGCGGCCGUAACUAUAACGGUCCUAAGGUAGCGAAAUUCCUUGUCGGGUAAGUUCCGACCUGCACGAAUGGCGUAAUGAUGGCCAGGCUGUCUCCACCCGAGACUCAGUGAAAUUGAACUCGCUGUGAAGAUGCAGUGUACCCGCGGCAAGACGGAAAGACCCCGUGAACCUUUACUAUAGCUUGACACUGAACACUGGUCCUUGAUGUGUAGGAUAGGUGGGAGGCUUUGAAGUGUGGACGCCAGUCUGCAUGGAGCCGUCCUUGAAAUACCACCCUUUAAUGGCUGGUGUUCUAACGUAGACCCGUGAUCCGGGUUGCGGACAGUGUCUGGUGGGUAGUUUGACUGGGGCGGUCUCCUCCCAAAGAGUAACGGAGGAGCACGAAGGUUAGCUAAUCCUGGUCGGACAUCAGGAGGUUAGUGCAAUGGCAUAAGCUAGCUUGACUGCGAGAGUGACGGCUCGAGCAGGUGCGAAAGCAGGUCAUAGUGAUCCGGUGGUUCUGAAUGGAAGGGCCAUCGCUCAACGGAUAAAAGGUACUCCGGGGAUAACAGGCUGAUACCGCCCAAGAGUUCAUAUCGACGGCGGUGUUUGGCACCUCGAUGUCGGCUCAUCACAUCCUGGGGCUGAAGUAGGUCCCAAGGGUAUGGCUGUUCGCCAUUUAAAGUGGUACGCGAGCUGGGUUUAGAACGUCGUGAGACAGUUCGGUCCCUAUCUGCCGUGGGCGCUGGAGAAUUGAGGGGGGCUGCUCCUAGUACGAGAGGACCGGAGUGGACGCAUCACUGGUGUUCGGGUUGUCAUGCCAAUGGCACUGCCCGGUAGCUAAAUGCGGAAAAGAUAAGUGCUGAAAGCAUCUAAGCACGAAACUUGCCCCGAGAUGAGUUCUCCCUGAGACUUUAAGUCUCCUGAAGGAACGUUGAAGACGACGACGUUGAUAGGUCGGGUGUGUAAGCGCAGCGAUGCGUUGAGCUAACCGAUACUAAUGAACCGUGAGGCUUAACCUUACAACGCCGAAGGUGUUU